GCGGUCGUGGCGGAAUUGGUAGACGCGCAGCGUUGAGGUCGCUGUGGGUGAUGAGCCCGUGGAAGUUCGAGUCUUCUCGACCGCACCA
rnacentral:tRNA from 1 species